GGGGUCACUUCCGGGGGAGUUUCGCUUCCGGUGUCGGAGGCGGUCCCCUGAGCAGGAAGAGGGGUUCCUGCUGCAGCCCUCUCCCCCGCGGAGGGGAGCAUCUCAAGUGCCUCGGAGGACCGCGCCGGACUCAGUCGCCCCACCGCGCACGUGUGGGCUGAGGACCGAGCCUCGCGGUUGUAUCUCUAGGACAGUUUCUGUCCUUAGUAGUGUGUCACGUGCACCAGCCUGUCACCGCCGGGUUUCGGUCCUCGCGGCCUUCCAGCCCACCUUUGCCCACGCUCCUGGUCUCAGGCAAGACCCAUUGAUUCCAGGUAAAUCGGAAGAACAAGCAUCAUGAGGCAUGGCACACACGUGGAAAACGCUACUGCGCUGAAGCACCUGCUGUCUCAGAAGCCGUUGAUGUGAUGUGGUACCCUUAACAAUAGAGAAUACACGAAAUUCGUCCCCAAAGCAUCCAUUUACUCAUGCUUACAUUGGAACUGAGGAGGAGCCCAGCCCUCAGCAUGAAAGCCCUGGGCAGAUGCAUGCAGCGCAGGAGCACUGAGGAAGUUCGCUUUCUUCAAGGAUUGUUACCCAGUAUCUCCAAGGUCAAAUCUCCCCUGGUAGGGUCUCCCUCCUCCUCCUCCUCUGAGCCUUCAGAAUGAAAUCUUGCUAUCAUGGGAGUCAUUUUCUGAAAACGUCAACAAUUCAUCUAGCAAAGACAGGAAGGUCACCUGUUUUGUUGCGGGCGGCAGUUACUAGGGUUGAAAGUGGGGUGCGACCUUAAGUAGUCGCUUUCCUUUAUUGAUUUGUUUGGAUUGAGCCCAGGGCUGUACACACGCUAGGCCUGUGCCCCCAGCCUACUCGUUUCUUAAUUUGAGACAAUGCCUUGCUAAGCUGCCCAGGCCGACCUGGAAUUUGACGAUCUACCUGCCUUAGCCUCCCAAGAGCCAGCCUUGCCGUGAUACCUUACCAACUCAUUUUCCUUUUCAGGAGAAAAUGGAAGGAUUUUAUUUUUUUCCCUGUUUUUAUGCCAGAAGAAUACCAUUUGUUAAUUCUAAACUAUAUACUUCUAAAAAGUAUGACAAAUUUCAGAGAGCCAAGUUUCAAAAACAUUUAAUAAAAGACUAUU